CAUCCCUCUCGUCUUCGUCGGGAUUGGGAACGUCACACUCCUCUUGAUCUAUGCACACUGUUGCCGCGCUAGAGAGUGGGAGAGGGGUCGAUCGGACGGGAUGGCCGAGCGGAGUCGGGAUCCCUGAGGGCCGGGGAGGUCUCGGGCGGCCGGAAUCGCGGGAGAUGGAUGGAGCGGGAGACGUGGGUGGCGGCGCCCUUGCCUCCGUGGCGGAGCCGGCCUUUCCCGCUGCUUUUCACCCCUGCUCCCGCCAAGGCCUUAGAGGGUAAUUUCGUCAUGGGUGGAUUACAUAGCCCAGUAGCCCAAUACUUUGAGGCCACUAUCUAUGGUCCAUUGGCCACCGAUAUCAUUUUCAUUACUUUGGGGAAAAAGAAAAAAAACACUGCUCCUUCUCUGUUUUAGACACCUGAUGAAAUUGAACUGUUUUGGAUGUUGUCUUAAAUGUCUUAAACGUCUUGCAAAAGUGAACGGAGGGAGUGUCACACCCUCUCUCCCAGCCCCCUUGUACACCACUCCCUCCGUUCCUAAAUAUAAGUCUUUUAAGAGAUUUCACGGUUACAUACGAAGCAAAAUGAGUAAAUCUAUACUUUAAAGUAUGUCUACAUACAUCCGUAUGUAAUCCCCUAGUAAAAUCUCUAAAAGGACUUAUAUUUAGAAACGGAGGGAGUAGUUUUUUUCGCGGGCCCGCUUAUUUAUGUUCCCUGAUCGUUUUUCUAUGCGUUUCCAUGUGGAUUUCUACGGGUUUUUUCCUUGUUUCGUUUGCAGCUUCUUUGUUUUGUUCUUAAAUUCAUGAAUUUCUUGUAAAUCGGUUAUUUUUUUAAAUUUAUGAACUCUUUUUGAAUUCGAUGAAAAUAACUUUUUUCAAAUUUGAUCAUUUUUUGAAUUUGAUGUUUUUAUUUAAAAUGAAUUAUUUUUAAUUUUUUGGAAUAUUUUCGCAUUUGAUGAAAAAAAAUCAAAUUCGUGAAGAGAAAUAAGUUUGCGAAAAAAAUUAAUUCACAAACUUUUUUUUAUUUUCCCAAAAAAAUGUACUCUUUUCGUAUAGUUGUUAUCAAAAGUCAAUGAUUGGUCGAUCGGUCAACCGCCACCGGUCCAAAAUCUGAUUGAGGAGAAAUCAAUCGGUCAACCGCCACUAAUCUAAAAUGUGAUUGAGGAGAAAUCACUCAAUCGUCAACCACCGCCUGUCCAAAAUGUAAUUGAGAAGAAAUCGGUCAAUCGGUCGACCGCCACUAGUCCAAAAUGUGAAAGCAAGCAAAGAAGCCUAAUAGCAUUAGAGGGACAAACAUGGCUGUCAGAUUAAGCGCUAGCUAGGUUGCAGUGUGGCAUAAGAAAUGAAUCGUCCUUGACUCCUCAUUUUCCCCUUUCCCUGGGCGCAGUCGCUGGCCAAGUAAUUCCCGUGCGUAAACAAUGGAAAGGGGAAAAGUAAAAAAAAAAAUCCAGAGAGGAGACAUGAGAUUGCGGAUCCAUCGCCUCGAAUAUAUAGACUCAAAAGGAACUCACCAUUCACCAUCCCUCUCGUCUUCGUCGGGAUUGGGAACGUCACACUCCUCUUGAUCUAUGCACACUGUUGCCGCGCUAGAGAGUGGGAGAGGGGUCGAUCGGACGGGAUGGCCGAGCGGAGUCGGGAUCCCUGAGGGCCGGGGAGGUCUCGGGCGGCCGGAAUCGCGGGAGAUGGAUGGAGCGGGAGACGUGGGUGGCGGCGCCCUUGCCUCCGUGGCGGAGCCGGCCUUUCCCGCUGCUUUUCACCCCUGCU
rnacentral:lncRNA from 1 species